GACCUGAAUAGGUAGGAAUACCCGCUGAACUUAAGCAUAUAUAA
rnacentral:rRNA from 1 species